UGUACACAGCAAAAUCACCAGUGUUAAAUUUUCAGGGAUGGUGUUAAAUACACAGUGUUGAUGCUGUUUUAACACUAUCUGGUAAUAAAAUAACACUGCCAUUGCUAGGCCAGUGUUAUAUCCAUGACAGUGUCAGUGUAAAACAAGGGUGUUACCAGAUUUCACACUGAGCGGUGUAAAUCAAGCCACGCCUCCACUAAACAUUUCCUGUCAGGGAUUUUACCGCCAUUUUCUUUCAAAGGAGGACUGAAGAGAGCAGGUAAAUCUCAUAAUAUUCACUUGGUUUAGCUAAAUUAAACUGUUAUUUCUCUGUCUGACUCUACGCAGCCAUUUGCCAAAAAACCUAAAUAAGAUAUUUUUCCCAUUUUAUUUCCCCUUUGUUCGUUAUUUGGUUCAGUUUAAUCAGAGCUGCCUUGUGUUACGUUGUUCCCUUGUUAGUUUGGUAUAAAGUUAAACUGCUAGCUAAAAGUUUUAACCAAGAAGGAUAAUAUUAACAGGAGAUAUGAAUGAAUGUAAGAAUUGAACCAUGAUAAAACGCGACAUGCACUACAAAUUGAAGGUAUGAAAUUAAGUUAAAUGAAAGCUCGUUUAUUCACCAUAUGAUGCUCGUUAUGAGGUAAUCAUAUAGGCUAGAUACCGUGAGUUAACGAGGUCGUUUACAUGCACGUGAGUGCACGGAUAUCGGUUAAUUAUUCAAAUUACUGAAAAACACGGAGAAAACCGCAACCGCAUCGUCAUGUGUUUUUUUUUUUUUUAAAUGUAUGCAAACAGGGAAAAUAUCGCCAAACCAACAAUUCAUUUUACCUCAGAAUAUGCACAGAUUGGAUGCAUUGUGUGUUGUAAGCUUUUCGUGGCGCUAGAUGUCAGACAGAUGCAAAUAGCAAAUACACACUAAAGUGUAAAACGUGUAUGGCGAACAUUUGUUUUUCUGUCAUUAUAGAUGCUAGUUUGGUGAAAGUACAGACUGAGUGCUUAAAAUCAUUCAGAAGAGAUGCUGUUUUUAUGUCAGUUUAUUAAAGAAGACCUGACAUGGAUGACUUCCAAAGAGAAACGACUGCUAAUACUUAUAUAAAUUCAUUACAGAAGGACCCUACCAGACUAUAUUUGAAUACGGCAUACCCAUGAAUUCUGAACUGUUAUUCCUUAACCCAGUUUGGAGGAUAAGAGCUUACCAACUAUAAAUAUGCUGAGGUGAUAUAUUGCAAAAUAGCUAACAUACAACAAUUAAAGGAUAAUUGCAGCCUAUAUCCUGAUGAAGAUAUGGAUGACCCUCUGUCUGGUCAACAAUAGUUUAAAUAUGGAUGGGACAGUGAUGUGGCAGCUCUUCCCUGGCUCAUUCACCUCUUGCCUUCAUUUGUGAAAGGAGGAAAGACUGGAGAGGGUCAAUGUGCAACUGAAGCUACUGAUUGUGCUGUGUAAGUUUUUUGGUAUUUUGUUCUAGUUAUUUAUUCAGCAGUUAGUUUGCUUGCAUUGUUCACCCCAUGUAAAUGCAUACAAGUUCAUAAAUACACAUCAAAUACAUUCAUCAAAUACACUCUUUUAAAACACUUAGGUGAUGAGCAUCAAUCCAUGCUUUGAGGGGGAUGAAUCAGCACAGCCCUGCCUGCUCUGCGUUUGGAACAAAAGUUGCAUCCGGAAUUUUUGCAUCAUUCUGGACCAAAAAGCCAUUCCCCGCAUGAUGAAGACCACUGAUGCAGCCUUCCACUACAUCAUGAGUAAAACAACUACAGAACUAAAUACCAGGUUGGAACGUGUUUAAGAAAAAUGAAACGUCUUUUGAAUUGAAAUGUCUGUUUUGUUAUGGAAAAAUCUUUAGUAUUGUGAAGGAUAAGCAUUUCUGCUUGUCGAUAAGGUAAUUGCAUGUAUUUUAAUGUUCAAGUUUUGAGUAGGGUGGCUAAUUUUUUUAACUCUUAUUUGAUUUAUUAAAGAUCUUUAUAAUAAGUGGUUUUCAUGUCACUGCGAUGUGGUAUAAGAUAACUUUCAUUAUUCCAUACUGUAUUCUGUUUCUAAUUGUAGCUGAGGUAUUUAAAUAAGCAGUGUUAAAUGCAAAGUGUUGUGUGUAUCAAUGUAAAUAUUAAAUGUGAUUUACUUUAAUAAAAAGAGGUUUUGCAAUAUUUCUUGUCAUUUUUCUUUUAUAGAAACAACCCAU